rnacentral:rRNA from 1 species
AACGAACGCUGGCGGCAUGCCUAACACAUGCAAGUCGAACGAGACCUUCGGGUCUAGUGGCGCACGGGUGCGUAACGCGUGGGAACCUGCCCUUAGGUUCGGAAUAACUCCCCGAAAGGGGUGCUAAUACCGGAUAAUGUCUUCGGACCAAAGAUUUAUCGCCUUUGGAUGGGCCCGCGUUGGAUUAGCUAGUUGGUAGGGUAAAAGCCUACCAAGGCGACGAUCCAUAGCUGGUCUGAGAGGAUGAUCAGCCACACUGGGACUGAGACACGGCCCAGACUCCUACGGGAGGCAGCAGUGGGGAAUAUUGGACAAUGGGCGAAAGCCUGAUCCAACAAUGCCGCGUGAGUGAUGAAGGCCUUAGGGUUAUAAAGCUCUUUUACCCGGGAUGAUAAUGACAGUACCGGGAGAAUAAGCUCCGGCUAACUCCGUG